AGAAAUGACAAAUACAUAAAAAUAAAACAAAUGUUUCAGUAAAUUGUUGGUUUGUCCUCUUGUGCAGAUAUGGAGUGCAGCGCAUUACCUAACAGUUGUUUCUUUGUAUUUUUUGAAAGAAAAUGAAGAAUGGAUAGGAUCUGUAACAAUGGAUAGGACACUUGUCCUCCUCCAAGCAUCAGUGACCUCCAGGACCAGUGGCCUUUCCUUUUCACCAGGUUAUGUAUGGCUCUGCAACAACUUCCAUACCCUCACUGGCAUCGUGAUUGACAGUCGCAUGACUCAAGCUCUCCUGAACAAGGGUAAGAGAAAUUGUCAACUUUUUUAAAAGCCAAAAGACCAAGGUAAGGAGAGAGAUCCACUGCCUGCUGAAUGAAAUCGACGGUUACAUCAGAUUCAAUGAUGAUCUAACAGCCACUGCUGACAUUCUUUUGUUGAUGACCCACUUCAAAGAGAAGGACAAAUCUCUGUUCCACUUGGCAGAUAUCACUGCAACUCGGGUUGAUGUCGAUGCGUAAAUUCCUUUGCCAGACACACCAAGGCUGAUCAUGUUUGGAAAUACUCUAUUGGGUUCUUCAAAACGAAUGGUGUCGAUCGAGUGGAGAGUGGUCUGUGUUUUGGACCAACUUUGCUGCUGCCCUCUCUGUGCUCUUCAGCACGUUCUAUGUUUUUAACAUCGAAUACCAGGAUUCAGCCUCUACAACCGUGGUGCUGAUCAAGAGGAUCCUGGUUCAAAUGAACCCUGAAAGAACCAACUGCACAGCGAAAGCAGGAGUGAGCCGCAAGACUGGAAAGGUCGUUCAGAGGAAACCAUUGCCAAUUAACCCACAUGUUCCACGCUUUCCGGCAGACUGGAAGGAAUUCGAGUGGAAAAACUUCAACAUUUUGUCCGAGUUGAGGAUUGGAGGAUCAGUUUCAAAGAUUGGGGUGAUAAUCUGCACCCCACCAAGAUUUAUUUGAGACCUGUUUGCAUCUCCCAUUCUCUCAGCAAAUGAUCUGCUUGCGCCAUCCGGGUUGCGGUAGCGUGCUUCUCUGGCUCCAGUCCAGCCCUGCUCGCUCCUCUCCAUCCAUCCUUCUCUCUCAGCCCCUUUCUCUCUAGUUCCUCUCUCAAAGACAGGCAGGCAAGCAGUUAUUGUUAUAGUUUUUUGUAAACAUUUCUCCCUGUUCAACUGUUUUCCUAUUUUUCAUUGAUCUGUUUAGAUGUUCUUUUUUUCUUACAUAAUCCAGUAUUAUCAAGAAUGACCUAUUCUGAUGUCUUGGUUUAUGUAUGGUGAAGUACAUUAUUGGCCACUAUUUGUCAAUGUUCUUAUCACUGUAUCUCUCUCUGUCGCUCUUUCUCUCUCCUACUAUCUGGAGCUUUAAUGUUGCUCUUUUCAAAUGUUGUUCUUUGUUGUUAAAGUGCAAUUCAUGUGAAAUUCAUUAUAUGAAUUUGAAUAAAUAAAUAUAUAAAAGAAAGGUCCCUUUUUCAGGACGCUGUCUUUCAAAGAUAAUUCGUAAACAUCCAAAUAACAUCAGAUCUUCAUUGUAAAGGGUUU